CCAUGACAGGGCACUCGCUCCAGCAUGGUGCUUUUCUGCUGACUCCAUGGUAGCUGGGCUAGCUGAUAGUGGUGGGGUGGACACCGAGGGCUCAGUGGGGAAGGCACCACAGCGAGGGGCCCAGCACGGGCUGGGGGCACCCAGGACAAGGCUCUGGGAAGGUGCGUGGCCAAGGCUGCAGCCGGGGCAGCAGCGACAGCUGCACUGCCAGGUGAGGCUGAGGGCCAAGCAGAGCGCGGUGGCGGCGGCGGGGCACACGGGAGAGGGGCGGCGCUGGGGGGGCCGAGCCGAGCGGGGCAGCGAACGCGGCCCGCGGGGUCAGCCCUCAGCCGCGGCUUUAUGGGAUGGCAGCGGCGAGUAUUAUGGGAUGGCGGGCCCUUCUGCGGGCGGGGGAAGGGCGAGCCGCGACUAUUAUGGGAUGGCGAGGCCUCCCGCGACCGGAGGGGGGCAGGAUGAGAGAAACCCUCCUCCAGACCUGUGCGGCUGUGGCAGCUCUGCAAACCCCCGCCUGGUUUGUAGCCCAUGGUGACUUGGUGGAUAGCACCAUCGAGAUUUGACUCUCCUCCUCUCCAGCCGACCUGAGUCCAUCGGCUCUGCUCGGCAGCAGUGGUGUUCUCACCCAGUCAAAUGAGGAAUGCAACCUCCGGGCUAAUUAGCACUGUUCCCUGGAGCACAGUUGUUGCUGGGUGCAGCGCUGGAAACACCUCUCCCCGAUCCAGCUGGAGGUGGGAGAUGAAGGAGAGUUCUGUCCCAGCCUGUUUUCUCAGUAUUUCUGCUAAAUGAGCCCAAGAGAUGUGGGUCGGUGUUAGUGAUUUUUGCCAGCAUGCACCAGCUUUGAUACAGGAGGUAAAAAUAGGUAUGGCAGAACUGCAGUCCAGGCAGCUUAAACGAGCAUGUUGUUGUUGCAGCCCCUUUGAGACCACUGGCUCCGUCCCUGGCUGGAUCCAACUAUUUAUUUCAUGAAGAGGGGAGGGGACCAGGGCAUUUCUAAGGCACUUUAUAGAAAUGGGAACCUAAAAAUGGUAACUAAUAAGCAUUCCUAACUUUUGUGUUUUGUUUGCAGCUUUUGUUAUUCGUUAUAUACAUUAUUCUAUGUUAAAAGACUGGUGUCAAAGUCAAAUUUUUAUAAUUGCAAAAUAGCAUUUGUUUUUUACGCCUUACUAAGUGCCUCCAUCUUCUGAAAAAAAAAAAAGUGAAAAUAAACAUGGAAAAUUCGAAUCUGACUAUCUGAUGUCUGGCAAAGUUCUGAGUAACUGAAAACAGACUUGUGAUGGAAAAUAUCGAGUAACCUUAGCUAUAGGUGUCAGUACCAAGUAUGUGAUGUUUUUUAAAGCAAACAAACCAGCGAAGCACACAGAGAUAGAGAUCAGCCGUUCUGAUUUCCAGGGGGCUGAGCAACCCCCAAUCUUCUCCAUCUCUCGCCCGCCUCGGCUGUGUGCCCCCAGCGCUGCCUCCUGCACCGCGCACGGCUGGCUGACACGGCGCGGCUCCGGCGGCACGGCCACGCCGCUCUCCCUGCCCCCUCCUUCUGGCAAAACAGGAGACGAGGCUCAAUGACGAGUGCUGAGCGAAGUCUGAAAUGCUCUUCCCCUAACGGGAAGUAGAUGCAGAGUCACGCUGGCAUAUGGGCAGCCCUCACCUAGGUGGCUGUUAGAGAGAGACUCGAUCCUCCAUUGACAGUAGAAUGUUCUCAAAAAAGAAGCACACGUGGUCUCUUGAGUGAUUCUUGAUCUUAUUCUGGUUGUACGCUCUAAAAUCAUCUGUGUGCAAGUCUCUGUCUGCCUCUUGUUGCGGUGGCAUUUGUUUGCUGCAGGAACAGCUCCUUGGACAUGACAGAAAGGGCUCUUUUCUCCACAAGACAAAGAGACUUUCCUGUGUCAUUUUCUGCCAUGUCUGACACCAAAGUAAAGAUACUUCCAUUGGGCUAAACAAAUAAGCUCAUGCUUUUCUUUGAAAAAAAAAAACCCACUCUAACUAAAUAAGUAAAAAAAAAAAAAUAGAA